GACGAACGCUGGCGGCGUGCUUAACACAUGCAAGUCGAACGGAAAGGCCCUGCUUUUGUGGGGUGCUCGAGUGGCGAACGGGUGAGUAACACGUGAGUAACCUGCCCUUGACUUUGGGAUAACUCCAGGAAACUGGGGCUAAUACCGGAUAGGAGCUCCUGCUGCAUGGUGGGGGUUGGAAAGUUUCGGCGGUUGGGGAUGGACUCGCGGCUUAUCAGCUUGUUGGUGGGGUAGUGGCUUACCAAGGCUUUGACGGGUAGCCGGCCUGGGAGGGGGACCGGCCACAUUGGGACUGAGGGACGGCCCAGACGCCUACGGGAGGCAGCAGUGGGGAAUAUGGCGCAAUGGGCGGAAGCCUGAGGCAGCAACGCCGGGUGCGGGAAGACGUCCUUCGGGUUAUAAACCGCUGUCGCCUGUGACGAAGCGUGAGUGACGGUAAUGAGUAAAGAAGCACCGGCUAACUACGUG
rnacentral:rRNA from 1 species